rnacentral:rRNA from 1 species
ACAGAGGGUGCGAGCGUUAAUCGGAAUUACUGGGCGUAAAGCGUGCGUAGACGGCUAUCUAAGUCGGGUGUGAAAGCCCCGGGCUCAACCUGGGAAUGGCGGUGGAUACUGGAAAGCUGGAGUGCGGUAGAGGGUAGUGGAAUUCCCGGUGUAGCAGUGAAAUGCGUAGAGAUCGGGAGGAACACCAGUGGCGAAGGCAAUCCCCUGGGCCUGCACUGACGCUCAUGCACGAAAGCGUGGGGAGCAAACAGGA